UACGUAGGGUGCGAGCGUUGUCCGGAAUUAUUGGGCGUAAAGAGCUCGUAGGCGGUUUGUCGCGUCGGUUUGUGAAAACCCAAGGCUCAACCUUGGGCCUGCAAUCGAUACGGGCAGACUAGAGUACUGCAGGGGGAGACUGGAAUUCCUGGUGUAGCGGUGGAAUGCGCAGAUAUCAGGAGGGAACACCGGUGGCGAAGGCGGGGUCUCUGGGGCAGUAACUGACGCUGGAGGAGCGAAAAGCCGUGGGGGAGCGAAACAGG
rnacentral:rRNA from 1 species